rnacentral:rRNA from 1 species
GACAUACUAAGAACUUUCCAGAGAUGGAUGGUGCCUUCGGGAACUUAGAUACAGGUGCUGCAUGGCUGUCGUCAGCUCGUGUCGUGAGAUGUUGGGUUAAGUCCCGCAACGAGCGCAACCCUUUUCCUUAUUUGCCAGCGGGUAAUGCCGGGAACUUUAAGGAUACUGCCAGUGACAAACUGGAGGAAGGCGGGGACGACGUCAAGUCAUCAUGGCCCUUACGGCCAGGGCUACACACGUGCUACAAUGGUCGGUACAAAGGGUUGCUACCUCGCGAGAGGAUGCUAAUCUCAAAAAGCCGAUCGUAGUCCGGAUCGCAGUCUGCAACUCGACUGCGUGAAGUCGGAAUCGCUAGUAAUCGCGGAUCAGAAUGCCGCGGUGAAUACGUUCCAGGGCCUUGUACACACCGCCCGUCACACCAUGGGAGUUUGUUGCACCAGAAGUAGGUAGUCUAACCGCAAGGAGGACGCUUACCACGGUGUGGCCGAUGACUGGGGUGAAGUCGUAACAAGGUAAGCGUAGAUGA